rnacentral:tRNA from 1 species
GAAUGGGUGGCUGAGCGGUCUAAAGCGGUGGUUUUGAAAGCCAUAGUAGUGUAGCUACCAAGGGUUCGAAUCCCUUCCCAUUCU